UUUCCAGUGGCGCAGUUGGUUAGCGCAUGGUACUUAUAAUGCUGAGGUCGCGAGUUCGAGCCUCGCCUGGAGAA
rnacentral:tRNA from 1 species